rnacentral:rRNA from 1 species
GUCCACGCCCUAAACGAUGUGCACUAGAUCGGUGCGGCUCUGACGCCGUAUCGGUCGAAGUAAAAACGAUAAGUGCACCGCCUGGGGAGUACGGUCGCAAGGCUAAAACUCAAAGAAAUUGACGGGGGCUCACACAAGCGGUGGAGCAUGUUGCUUAAUUCGAGGCAACGCGAAGAACCUUACCUGGGUUUGACAUGGCCGGAUUAGCUCUUGGAAACAGGAGUGACACCUUCGGGUGGAACGGUCACAGGUGCUGCAUGGCUGUCGU